CUAUCGGUACCUGCACGUGUCCCAAAAAUCUCAGAAUCAGACCUAGGGCCCCUUUCGGUCAAUAUCGCAAUUCCGGCACGGCGGCGAUUCGCCUCGGGUUGGCCAUUUUCGACCGUUUUCGACUGAAUUCGGCCACACUUACAUCGGUCCCUGCGAUAAAACAACCUUAGGGCCCUCGGGGAGCCAAAAAAUUACGAAAAACCGAAGCUUACCGGUGGCGGUGCUCUCGGGUGCGGCGGCUCUUCAGCGUGGUUCGUGUUUUG
rnacentral:lncRNA from 1 species